AUGCAAAGAACUUUGAAAAGAGAGUUAAAGAGUACCUGAAAUUGCUGAAACGGAAGCGAAGGAAACCAGUGUUGGGCGNUUCAUACUUCCCCCUCCGCUUGCGGGUGGGGCGCUGUGGUCGCCGCUGGCAKGCUUGGUUGUUGCGGCUGGAAGGGCGGCGGGAGAGUUGCUCCUGCCUGUUCCCGCAGUCGCGCCGACCGAGGUUGCCGAAAUGGUUUUCUUUUCCCCGUCUAGAAACACGGACCAAGGAGUCUAACAUAUGUGCGAGUACAGGGGUGGCAAACCCCCGUGCGCAAUGAAAGUGACAGUGGCUGGAGCUUCGGUGCACAGUCCGCCGGCCUCAAUCCCUCGGGAGAACGGUCUGAGUGUGAGCAUACAUGUUGGGACCCGAAAGAUGGUGAACUAUGCCUGAAUAGGGUGAAGCCAGGGGAAACUCUGGUGGAGGCUCGAAGCGAUUCUGACGUGCAAAUCGAUCGUCAAAUUUGGGUAUAGGGGCGAAAGACUAAUCGAACCAUACUAGUAGCUGGUUCCCUCCGAAAUUUCCCUCAGGAUAGCUGCGAUCGGAUAUCAAUUUUAUCA
rnacentral:rRNA from 1 species